rnacentral:rRNA from 1 species
CCUACGGGAGGCUGCAGUGGGGAAUAUUGCACAAUGGGGGAAACCCUGAUGCAGCGACGCCGCGUGGGUGAAGAAGUAAUUCGUUAUGUAAAGCUCUAUCAGCAGGGAAGAAAAUGACGGUAUCUAAGUAAGAAGCACCGGCUAACUACGUGCCAGCAGCCGCGGUAAUACGGAGGGUGCAAGCGUUAUCCGGAUUCACUGGGCGUAAAGAGAGCGUAGGCGGGAGUGCAAGUCUGGAGUGAAAGGCGGGGGCUCAACCAUAGGACUGCUCUGGAAACUGUAAGUCUAGAGUGCGGGAGAGGUAGGUGGAAUUCCUGGUGUAGGGGUGAAAUCCGUAGAGAUUAAGAGGAACACCAAUGGCGAAGGCGACUUGCUGGACUGUAACUGACGUUGAGGCUCGAAAGCGUGGGGAGCAAACAGGAUUAGAUACCCGGGUAGUC